AUUUCAUGAUGAAUUAUAAAUUGACAAGCAUAUGACUGAAUUAUGCAUGUUGACAUAUUAGUUCUGAGU
rnacentral:snoRNA from 1 species